AGUGAUGUGAAGUUUUGUUGUACUUUGUUCCGUCAAUUAUGGCAUCUCUCCAAGAAGGCAGCAGGCUCUCGUGUCACAUAUGCAUAUUUAUGAUAAGAUGGGAAACCAAGGCGCAGAGAGUUGAAGAGGCUUGCCAAAAGUCAGACAGAAAGCUGAAAACAGCCAGGAACCGAAUCCAGUACAUUCUUUUCGUUAUGUCCAAACUUUCCCCAUCUGCCAAGGACCUGAUCCUCCAUCAUCAAAGUGAGGGCAAGAUUUCACCUGGGAUCCUACAGGAACAUCAUGAAGGCCAGACUCUUU